CUAGGAUUACAGUCCAACGAAAUGUUGGUGGGUGCUACAAUAUUGGAGUUGGCAAGCUUCUGAUCGAGGUGCUUACAGUGCAGAAGCUGCUGGACCUUGUGGAAACAUCCUUCAGCCUCUACCAUAUAGUUUUAACCUACAAAUGUUCUCUCAGGCUCUGCAACCUCACCACUUUGUCCCAAGCGAUGGACCCUGUGCACCUGGAUGGCACGCGCCCCCUUAUCCAUUGUGUCCUCCAGCAUCACCAUAUGCCCCAUAUCCAACAUAUCCACCAAAUCCAGUUUAUGGUCCCUCACAAAACAUCAGCUAUCAAUCUGUUGUUUCAUCAGCACUGCUUACCUGCCAAAAUGCUAUAGCUCCACCUCUUCCUCAAGCUUCAUUUUAUGCAUUAACCUGCCAAAACCUGCUCCAACUUACUUUGCCGGUCGCUCACUCCAGAUGGUUUAUGUGCCGUUAAGAUCUGUCCCAUUAAGUUGGGCGCAAGCAGACCGUGGGUCAACUACAAAAGUGAAACAACGGUCUUCAAAGCACACCAUCACUAAAAUUGCAGCUAAGGCCUUUUCCAAUAUUCUGGAUAUCGGUGAAAUUGGAACUGAUGCAUUUGGCAAUAUUUUGGGCACUCCCACCAUCGGUGAGAUUACAACUGAUGCCUUUUCUGACAUUCUGGUCAAUGUAUUUAAUGCAAUGUAAAACAGUAAGAGCCACGGUGUAACAGUUGACAAUUGUAAUCAAUGGAGGGGAAGUGGACGUAUACAAGUAGAUGAAAAUGGAAAGUCUCUUCGAGUAUGCAGAACAACAACAACAACAAUAACUGACAUUUAUAUAGCAGCCUUUUGAUGCUUCCCAACAUAAAUAGCACUAUAUAAAUGUAAAUUUAUAUUGUACAUUAUUGUAUUCAUGUGGGGUUCAAGUUCUCCCAUGAAAAUGUUGAAUGUUCUUUUAUAAUGCUAGACCUCCUGCUAUAUAAAACGUUUAGUUUAGCCGAACAUUGAGCCAUCAAACUCCUUCAUUAAAAUGAAAUGCUUCAAAGUAUUUUCAUAUAAAUAUAGACUACAAUUGUCAAUAAGGCAUUUUUGCACAGCUGGUAAUAAUUGUAAAUCAUCACAACAAUAAAAUCCUCAUUUAAAAACAUUAAACAUAGUUGCUUUCAUAUAUAUUAUCCUCAAUAAAUCUCUUUAAUUAUUUGAUAGCUUCUUAAUUGGCGUUUAAUUAUGGUACUUUUAAAUAAAUGUAUUCUGUUGGUACAAGAUGCAACUGUGAACUCCUUUUCUGAUUAUAGAUUCUAUUGGAGUGCAGGGCAGUGAUUUCUUUAUUCUUAGAGAAUUUUAAAAAUGAUAUACAUACACAAUCCUCAGGGUUUACAAUAAGUUAGAUAAAUAAGUCAACUAUUUACUAGACAAAUAUUAAUUGGGUGAAUGGGAGAAUGAACGGUCAUAGGAAAUUUGGGGCAUUUCAUAAUGAGUUCCUCGUUAUAUUUUCCCCCUAUAUGAAUACAUAUAUUAAUAACAUAAUUGUGAAUUCUGUGAAAUUCUAUGAAUAAUUCAAUAAAUGUUGCAUCUGUACAGUAACUGGGAAGAAUGCUCAACAAUAAACUGAUGAUGUAACAGUGAUUGAAUUAAAGCAUCUAACAAUA